GCCUCAGUAGCUCAGUGGAAUUAGAGCACGGAGUUUCUACCUCUGCGGUCGGGGGUUCGAGUCCCUCCUGAGGCG
rnacentral:tRNA from 1 species